rnacentral:rRNA from 1 species
AGAAUGCCGGUAUGAGUAGCGAAAGACAGGUGAGAAUCCUGUCCACCGAAUGACUAAGGUUUCCUGGGGAAGGCUCGUCCGCCCAGGGUUAGUCGGGACCUAAGCCGAGGCCGACAGGCGUAGGCGAUGGACAACAGGUUGAUAUUCCUGUACCCGUUGUUUUUGUUUGAGCAAUGGAGGGACGCAGGAGGCUAAGAAGUGCAGACUGAUGGAUAUGUCUGUUCAAGCAGUAAGUCUUGGUAGGAGUCAAAUGCUUCUACCUAUACGGACAAGCUGUGAUGAGGAGGGAAAUAAUAGUACCGAAGCUUCUGAUGUCACACUGCCAAGAAAAGCUUCUAGUGAGAAAACAACGGCCCGUACCGCAAACCGACACAGGUAGUCGAGGAGAGAAUCCUAAGGUGAGCGAGAGAACUCUCGUUAAGGAACUCGGCAAAAUGACCCCGUAACUUCGGGAGAAGGGGUGCUGCUCUAACGAGCAGCCGCAGUGAAUAGGCCCAA